GAAAUUGCGAUGCUUGUUUGUGCUUUUGGUCGUUAUUCAUUGCACGGAGUUUGUCCUCCCAUGCUGAUUUUAUCAACCUUCCCUCGGAUAUUAGGAUUGCGCUGCAAGCGAUGAAGGUGAAAAUGAUCACGAAUUUCGACAUGACUUGGAGAUCAGCCAUAGCCAGAGAAAGUGUGGAAAAGGAAGUUUGAUUUUCUACUUUGAAGUGAGCAAUGAGAAGAAAUAGGUAAGAC
rnacentral:lncRNA from 1 species